GAGGAAAUGGGCUACAAAAGCUGGCCAUGGAUAUUUAUGAGUCUUGUCCCCAUAUAUUCCUCCAAAGACAAAGGUAGUAGAGCCUCUGCCAAUUUGGAAAUCUAGAAACAACAGCAGUUACUGAAAGGAGGAGGAAAUUACUGCAUAAGCCUUAAGACAGAGACUCUGAAUUGAGUUCUUUUGCAGCAAGGAAAGCCAAUCUGAUAGUGACCAUUAUCUCUUGAAGCUACAAUCAUUGCUGCACUUCUGUAUUAAACAGUCGUGACGAUGGAAGAAGUGAAGGGAAGGCUUACAGCAUAAUCUUGAUUCAGGCUGAAAGAAGAAACAUGCAUCAAAUGUUCUUUGUCAACAUUCAAAACUCUGACUAGUCACUAAUACUAGUGUACUGAAAUGCAUUUGUAAAAAGCAUUGCUUAUCUAGAUUACUAUAUAGGGAUAUGGGAUUAUGGAUUGCUUAUAAUUAUGGAUUGCUGUGAUCUGAUAUGCCAUCCCUAACAUAUAUGGAAUCUACUCCAUACAC
rnacentral:misc_RNA from 1 species